GACGAAUGCUGGCGGCGUGCUUAACACAUGCAAGUCGAACGAUGAAGCCUAGCUUGCUAGGUGGAUUAGUGGCGAACGGGUGAGUAAUACGUGAGUAACCUACCUUUAACUCUGGGAUAAGCCUGGGAAACUGGGUCUAAUACCGGAUACGACCAAUCUCCGCAUGGGGUGUUGGUGGAAAGCGUUAUGUAGUGGUUAUAGAUGGGCUCACGGCCUAUCAGCUUGUUGGUGAGGUAACGGCUCACCAAGGCGACGACGGGUAGCCGGCCUGAGAGGGUGACCGGCCACACUGGGACUGAGACACGGCCCAGACUCCUACGGGAGGCAGAAGUGGGGAAUAUUGCACAAUGGGCGCAAGCCUGAUGCAGCGACGCCGCGUGAGGGAUGACGGCCUUCGGGUUGUAAACCUCUGUUAGCAGGGAAGAAGAGAGAUUGACGGUACCUGCAGAGAAAGCGCCGGCUAACUACGUGCCAGCAGCCGCGGUAAUACGUAGGGCGCGAGCGUUGUCCGGAAUUAUUGGGCGUAAAGAGCUUGUAGGCGGUUUGUCGCGUCUGCUGUGAAGGCCGGGGCUUAACUCCGUGUAUUGCAGUGGGUACGGGCAGACUAGAGUGCAGUAGGGGAGACUGGAAUUCCUGGUGUAGCGGUGGAAUGCGCAGAUAUCAGGAGGAACACCGAUGGCGAAGGCAGGUCUCUGGGCUGUAACUGACGCUGAGAAGCGAAAGCAUGGGGAGCGAACAGGAUUAGAUACCCUGGUAGUCCAUGCCGUAAACGUUGGGCACUAGGUGUGGGGGACAUUCCACGUUUUCCGCGCCGUAGCUAACGCAUUAAGUGCCCCGCCUGGGGAGUACGGCCGCAAGGCUAAAACUCAAAGAAAUUGACGGGGGCCCGCACAAGCGGCGGAGCAUGCGGAUUAAUUCGAUGCAACGCGAAGAACCUUACCAAGGCUUGACAUAUACUGGACCGCAUCAGAGAUGGUGUUUCCCUUCGGGGCUGGUAUACAGGUGGUGCAUGGUUGUCGUCAGCUCGUGUCGUGAGAUGUUGGGUUAAGUCCCGCAACGAGCGCAACCCUCGUUCUAUGUUGCCAGCACGUUAUGGUGGGGACUCAUAGGAGACUGCCGGGGUCAACUCGGAGGAAGGUGGGGAUGACGUCAAAUCAUCAUGCCCCUUAUGUCUUGGGCUUCACGCAUGCUACAAUGGCCGGUACAGAGGGUUGCGAUACUGUGAGGUGGAGCUAAUCCCUAAAAGCCGGUCUCAGUUCGGAUUGGGGUCUGCAACUCGACCCCAUGAAGUCGGAGUCGCUAGUAAUCGCAGAUCAGCAACGCUGCGGUGAAUACGUUCCCGGGCCU
rnacentral:rRNA from 1 species